rnacentral:rRNA from 1 species
CACCGCGGUUAGACGAAAGGCCCUAGUUGAAAAUAGCCGGCGUAAAGGGUGGUUAAGAAUAAUAAUAAAUAUAGCUUAAUGACCCUUCGGCUGUCGUACGCUUCUAGAUGUCUGAAAACCCACACGAAAGUAGCCUUAAUUUAUCUGACCCCACGAAAGCUGAGGAA